CUCGAUGUGCUAGUUUGCAAUGCUGCUGUUUAUUUGCCAACUGCUAAGGAGCCUACAUUUACGGCCGAGGGAUUUGAACUUAGUGUUGGAACCAACCAUCUUGGUCACUUCCUCCUUUCACGGCUGUUGCUUGAUGACUUGAAGCAAUCUGAUUACCCAUCAAAGCGUCUCAUCAUCGUUGGCUCAAUCACAGGUACUAAUUCAUAUAUGAUAUGCAUUUACAUCUAUCAAAUGUAGCAAAAUUUUGAUAUUCAUGCACCGACUAUACUUUAUGAUGCAUGAUAAAGGAAACACAAAUACCUUGGCUGGUAAUGUACCUCCUAAGGCCAACCUUGGGGACUUAAGGGGAUUUGCUGGAGGCUUAAAUGGGCUAAACAGCUCAUCCAUGAUUGACGGUGGAGAUUUUGACGGUGCCAAGGCCUACAAGGACAGCAAAGU
rnacentral:lncRNA from 1 species